GACGAACGCUGGCGGCGUGCUUAACACAUGCAAGUCGAACGGAAAGGCCCUGCUUUUGUGGGGGGCUCGAGUGGCGAACGGGUGAGUAACACGUGAGUAACCUGCCCUUGACUUUGGGAUAACUUCAGGAAACUGGGGCUAAUACCGGAUAGGAGCUCCUGCUGCAUGGGGGGGGUUGGAAAGUUUCGGCGGUUGGGGAUGGACUCGCGGCUUAUCAGCUUGUUGGUGGGGUAGUGGCUUACCAAGGCUUUGACGGGUAGCCGGCCUGAGAGGGUGACCGGCCACAUUGGGACUGAGAUACGGCCCAGACUGCUACUGGAGGCAGCAGUGGGGAAUAUUGCACAAUGGGCGGAAGCGUGAUGCAGCAACGCCGCGUGCGGGAUGACGGCCUUCGGGUUGUAAACCGCUUUCGCCUGUGACGAAGCGUGAGUGACGGUAAUGGGUAAAGAAGCACCGGCUAACUACGUG
rnacentral:rRNA from 1 species